UCUUCUGAGUUCUCCUUAACUCUUGUUUUUUUUCCAGGUCUUAGAAGGAUGAACUUGGUGUGCAGACUGGAGGGCUCAGGCAAGAAAAUGCAUACAAUGGGACAAUGACAGAGCAAAGUUAAAAUGAACCUUGAAAUGAAGUUACUUCUCAAAAUGCAUGCAAUAAGAUUCUGUACAGAUGGGACAUACAUUUUGCUUUAGGCUUCAAAAGCCAUUGGAAAAAGGGAAACAGAAUCAGCUGUAGGUAUCUACAAGAGAUGAAGACACUUCUUCAGAAGUACACCUGUGAGACAGAAUGUUGUAGCUGACCUGGUUUUUCCCCCACAUGUUUAAUCUGAGAUACCAGGAGUCUGUUUCUUUCCAAGUUUACCAAGUGAAUGUUUGUCUGCAGAGUAAGUAAGUAAACACAUUGAACAAUCAUUAUUAAACAGUAUU
rnacentral:lncRNA from 1 species